rnacentral:lncRNA from 1 species
AUGGACAUGCAACGAAAUAACUAGCAAAGAGACCUUGUUUCAACAUCAAAUAUGUUUCCGUAAGGCCAGAUUCUUGGGCAAAGUUGUUUUAGCGAUCUGGUUGCAACUAAGUAUUGGAGUUGUUGUGCCUUGAAGCUAGAAACUGCCUUGAAUUUCUACAUAGGGAAAUGUAAUCUAUUGCUUUCUUACAGAUUGCCAUUUGCCAGCUGACCUGUGACACAGCAGCAGUGUAUUACAUUUUCAAUGAGCAGUCUGUCUGGAGCUGCUAGUGGGAGAAACUGCUUCCUGGUUUCUAGGGGAGGCAGAUGAUGAAUAAAUGAACAAAAAAUAUAAUAAUGGAUAUGUAUUUAUAAGUGCUAUGAAGAGAAGAAAUCCAAGCAAGAAGAGAGUGAAAUGAGGUAGGUGGAUUUAGGAUAAGGUAGGGUAUUCUGAGAAAACUUCUCUGAGGACAUGAUGUUUCUGAGGACAUGAUGUUUGUAAAUAGAUUUGAUUCACUAGAGAGCAUUCACAAAGAAAGUAAGAGAAAUUAGGUGGCAGAAGGAGCCAGGGAACCAAACCUGUAAGUUUUUGCAGACCAUGGUAUGACAGGAAGCCAAUUCAGGUUUUUGGCAUAAGUAUGGUGUUGUUAGCUCUUCAAAAUACAUCCAAAAAAUUCCGAUCACUUCCAGUUUGAUAUUCUGAUCUAGACCAUUGUGGAAUCUUGGUUGAACUCUUUCAAAAGUCACUGGUCUCUCUAAUUGUACUUGUGUUCCUCUACAGUCAAUUCAAUACACAAAAAAACAGUGAUACUUUUAAAACAUCGAUAAGGCUGGGCACGGUGGUUCACGUCUAUAAUCCCAGCACUUCAGGAG